rnacentral:lncRNA from 1 species
UGAGGGGAGGACAGGUAGGGUAUCAUUUAUUGUGGAGACAUGGAGGGACUCAGUUUUUUUAUGUGGCAACCCCUCUGUACCUGCACCUAGCUUCAGAGUGAAUCAUCAUCUUGGUCAUCUCUCCAAUAGCAUUUAAAGAUGUGUUGAUUACAAGUCACAGAAAUGCAAAUAGGGAUUCAUAAAUAAAUGAGAAUACAUUUUUAUCACAUAACAGCAAUUCCGCAGAGAAUUACAAACUUUGAUUUUGUGCUCACUGAUGUCAGAGCUGAUGUUUCUUGUC